CAUUUUCCUAGAUAUUACACCGUCUUACAGCUAAGGCAAUCCUUAGAGACUGGGAAGAGGGAAGCCUGGAUGAUGACAGGACACAGCAUGAGGUCCUGAAGAUGAAUCGAAAGAAUCUUAUAAUUCAGCUCAGCACAAAAUAUUCCAUUGUAACACAGUUUACCAGUUUCGUUGCCAUUGAAAAGAGAGAAAAGGAUGAAGAUAUGAGCAGUGAAGGUCCGAGGAUUGAGGCUAUCUUGGCAGAAGAAGAUGUAGAUAUUCUGCCAUAUAUUGGAUGGAAGGAGAAGGAAGAGAUUCUUAACAAACAGGAGGAAAAACGGUUAAUAUUUCAUCUGACCUGUAAAGUUCUUUGACAUGUUUUUAGUCUAUUGUCUUGUCUGGAGAGAUAAGGCAGUUUGUUUCCAGUGUAAUUUGUUAUCUAGCCCUGAUUUGAAAACAAAGCCUUGCCUUAGAGGUGUG